UUUCACUCAGCAUCAUGAGUACACGAUACACUGGCGUUGCCAUGACAACAAACAGUUUCAACUUCUGCUGUAAGGACACAUGCUGAAAACAUGUAAUCGUAAAUGCAUCUAACUUCUUUAUUAAUUUUUCGAAAAAAUGAAUUCGUUUUUCGUCAUCAGCAAGUAAAACUACAUCAAAAUUACGUUUUUGUUUAAAACUUUCAGAUUAAAAUGUGUAGCUGGAAAAAAGUAAAAAAGAUCCAAUAAAACUUUACAUGAAAUACUGACGUCUCGGACAUGCAACUGUGUCUUGAAAAAUAUUAUCAAUCAAGAAAAUAGUAAGCAAACUUUAAUCGUAUUUUGUCGGCAACAAUAGGACGAGGGGCGAGGCGGUAGAUUUGGGUCACAUCUUUACAAUUAUUCAAGUAAAUAAAGUUUUAUAAAAGACGAAACAAAGAGGGGCCAAUGAAAAACUACACGAACAGUGGAGUGGAUAUGGGAUAAAAAUAUGGCUAAGGAAAAGAAUACGUACACCCGGUUAAUGUUUUUGUUACGCCGAAAACCGGUGGUGUACGUAUUCUUUACCUCUGCCAAAAAUAACGAAGGAAGAGGUUGAACGAAUUAAAAUAAAUAUUGCAAAUUUCCUGAAAUUUAGAUUAAUUACGGUAUUUAGAUGAAGUACAUGAGAGAAAGAACGAAAGAAAAUAGGAUCUUGAAAAGAAGAUAAGUCAUAUAAGAGAAGAAGAAAUGUAAGAAUACAAGAGAGACUUUUUUCAAUACAAAAUGUGUAAAAUUUACAAACGAUACUUGCAUGACAACGUAGUUAUUGAUGAAAUAAUGUGAGAUGUUUUGAAGUAGAGAGUUGAAAUUAAUGAAGACAUCGAUUGGGCAGAAUUUUUAACUACUUUUGACUGAAUAUCCCUAUUGUGUUCGACUGGUUAAUGAACAAUCAUUUAAGUUAAUUACAGGCGGUAAUUAAUUAUUAGUAACACUAAAUACGUGCAAAGAAAUAAUAUAUAAACAGUACAUGCCUCAAAAAGUAACGUGCAUAACGGAAGUAGCAUUCAUUGUGUAGGAAUAACCUACCUCUAAUCAAUAGAGAAUUCUUUAAAGUUUUUUUAUUCCCGGAAAAUUAUUAGUUUAUGUUUUUAGCUUUGGUUUCCAGUGUAUUCACAUUAGCCUUGUGAUUUCGGUAAAACGGUAUAUUAUAACGCUUAGAACCUGCGAUAUGUUCAUAGCAUUAAACUAGUGCAAUAAUCAGAAUUGUAAAGUAAUUUUAAAAUGCGAAAAGAAAAAAAGAAAGAAAGUGGAUUUUUAGACAUCCCUUAACAUUGUUAUGAUGCCUUUAAAAAACACUUUGAACAUCAGAGAUUAUAAACUGACAUUUGACUGUUCAAAGACGAUUUCAGAAAGUGAAUAGUUGUAACUUCUCUUGAAUAUGGACAAAAUUUGGCAUUGUGGUGUUAAUCUGCAGAAAAAGGCUUUAGCUCCCAAAGAUAUUCAUGGAUACUACAUUAGGGGAUGACGCUCCAGCUUUAUCAACAGUGCAAAAGGGGGCAGCUGAAUUUCGGAGGGGAAGGGAGAGUCUUGAAGAUGACAUCCUGCAACUGCUCCCACCAAGGAAAACACAUUGACCAUGUUCACCACAAGGUGAUGGAUGACAAGCAAUUGACUAUAAUUUAAAUGCUAUUAGUAUAUCCCAUAAGAGUUGAGAAUAUCCUGCACAAUGAACUUGGCAUGAUGAAGGUUUCAGUUUGGUGGAUGCUAUGUCUUCUGACAACUGGUCAAAUCUUCACCAUGCUGAUCACAUCACAAGAAAAUCUGACAUUGUUUGAGGUAGAUCCAGCUGGUUUCCUCAAAUGCUUCCUAAGCCUUGGUGAAUGUUGAAUUCAUCACUUUGAGCCAGAUUCAAACAGACAAUCCAUGCAGUGGAAACAUCUCCCCAUCACCUGUUCCAAAGAAAGCCAAUGUUUCAUCUGCAGGGAAGGUGAUAGCCUCAGAUUUUCAGGAUGCAAGAGGCAUUGUGUUUAUUGACUAUCUUCAAAAGGACUACACUGUCAACAAAGAGUACUAUGCCAAUUUGCUGAGACAGGUACAAAAGGCCAUCAGACCAAACACAGAGGAAAACUGAUGAAAGGGAUCUUGUUUCAUCAGGACACAAGUCCUUCAUGUCAAUAGCUACUCUGCAUGACUGUGGCUUUGAGCUGGCUGAUCACCCCACCUAUUCUCCUGAUUAUCAUCUGUUCCCUUACAUGAAGGGAACCAGUGUCACUGUGAUGAGGACAUAUCUACUAUUGAUGACUUUUUUGACAAACAAGAUGAAAGUUUCUUCAUCAAUGGGAUCCAAGCAUGCAAUACCAAUGGAGGAAGUGUGUGAACUGCAAAGAGGACUAUGUUGAAAAAUAAACUUCAUUUGGUUGUCUCACACUCCAUGAGAGUAUCUUGAUCAGCCUAUGAACUUUUUAGCCAACUCUUAUAUAUCAGGCAUGUAUAACUUGCUGUUCUUUACACAUGUUCAUUUCUCUUACAUCCACUCACAUUUUCUCUCAAAUUUGAACUUGCUUACUAUAGUGUAGUGUUAAUUUGUAUUACAAAGGCUUGACUGUGUGGUUAAAUGCUAUGAUUUGGAACCAUGUGGUCAAUGGUUUGGUCCUACUGCAUAAAUGUUAUUGACUAACAUUUCAUACUAUAGCUUUGUAAGUGAAAUUAGCAGACAGAAACUGAAGAAGCCUGUCAUAUAUAUGGAAGACAUAGGAUGGAGUACUGAGGAACAACCUCAAGACAUUGAAUCUUUUAGGUGGGAUGACAAAGGACUGAAAUGCCUAGCACCUUGCAAUACUCUGCAGUAGAAAUGUUAAGACCAAUCCUUUUGGUGGUGUAAAGCACUCAUGGCAGUGCCACAUAAAAGCCUGCCCAUGCAGUGCUGUGAAAAAACGCCUGUGUGGCAACACAUAAAAGCACCCAGCACACUCUAUAAAAUGGUUGACAUUAGGAAGGGCAUUUGUCCAUAGAAACUAUGCCAAAUUAGACUGGCAUCAGGUGAAGCUCCCCAGCCUGCCAGCCCUGGUCAAACUAUCCAACCCAUGCCAGCAUGGACAUUGGACGUUAAAUGAUGGUGAUAAUGAUAAAUAGAUAGGAUAUACCUCUGUAUAAAUUUGUGUGAAUUCAUAUUUUCCCUCAUGCUCAUGUAUAUUUGUUGACUGUAAAUGAAAGUCUUGCUGUCAAUAGUGUCCUUUGCUUACAAUCCAUCACAAAAGUAUGUGUAGACUUCUUUGACAUGUUAUGUGAUCUUUGUAAACAAGAGUCAUUCAAAUGGUGUAAUUUGUUUCCAGUUCACUACAUAACUACAUCCAGGUUGUGCACUGUUGAAAAGACUAGGAAAUUAUUAACUUACUUGAAAGUGGGUAAGGGUUGGUGACAGGAAGGCCAUCCAGCCACUGAAAAUCUACUUCAACAAAUUCUGUCUAACUCAUGCAAGUGUGAAGUGGACGUUAAACUGAUGAUGAUGAAAUGAAAAUCAGCAACAUCUCACAAAACCUGCUGCUAGAAAAAGGUUGCCUCAUUCUACUUCAUACUACUAUGUGCCAUUUUACUUUACUGUCAAUAAAUGAAUUACUGUAUGAGGAAACCCCAAAUUUUGCAGGCUUAAAAGUUGGAAAAGAGGUUUUGUAAGAGAUUAGGUAAAUUUUGAUAAGUGCACCCGCACUUAUCAAGUAAUGUGUUUCAUUUUUGAAAGAAAGAGAGAGAGAGAUGAGAGACUAUGCAUAUAGUAAGAAAGAAGGAAGGCUUUCUAUGAAAGAAAGGAGAUACAUAAAUGAAAUUUAAAAUAUCUUAAAUGAUAAAUACACACACACAAACAAAUGCACAGUAAAUUAAGGAUUCUUUUAAAAGAUACAAUAUUUUCCCAUUAGAAUAUACUUCUUUCCUCACAUAACAUUUAAGAUAUAGUUAUUUUAAAUUGAUUCUUAGUACAUAGAGAAAACUAAUUCUCUCAAUCUUGACUCGAGUUUCAGGUGGAAAAACUUGCAAAGAGAAAGUGAAUUUUUUUUUUAUAUAAAACACAUGAUACCAUUUGAAUAUAUUUUGCAAUCUGGGAUUAAUAUACCUAGAGAUUUUUAGAGGUAUGAAAAAGAUAUUUUGUUUUAAUAUUAUACUUUACUUGUUUCACACUAACACAAAAAUUCUCCGGGGGGAUACAUUCCUGUCGUUACCACUAAUUUCUACAACUUCAGCAUUUUCACUUCUUUUCAAAGUUGUUUGAAUUUUUCAAUCUUAUGUAAUCCACACUCUUGAAAACACAUUUCUGUAAAAUGUUGGGGCUGGGGUUGAAAUUUCUGAGAGUUCCACCCCACCCCAACCCCUGUUUUCUGGACAAAAAGUGUUUUGUGGCAUAUUAGGCAGUCACUGUAAUUCAUUCAAUGAAAAAAAUUAAUUUCCAAUGAUUCCAGGAUGGAGAAGAGGGUUCCAAUUUCCCAACCCCACUUUUUUCCAACCAAAAAUAAGGGGAUUGUGGCACAUUGGGAAAUCAGGGUACUUGAUUUCACGCAAAAAAUCCAAGGUUUUCUCUUCUUAGUGAAAUGUGUGCAGGUGCACUUAUCAAAAUUUACUGUAAAUACCCUUAAGAAGAAUAUUAAUAAAUUAUCUUAACAAGUUU